rnacentral:rRNA from 1 species
UUAAGCGACUAAGCGUACACGGUGGAUGCCCUGGCAGUCAGAGGCGAUGAAGGACGUGCUAAUCUGCGAUAAGCGUCGGUGAGGUGAUAUGAACCGUUAUAACCGGCGAUUUCCGAAUGGGGAAACCCAGUGUGUUUCGACACACUAUCAUUAACUGAAUCCAUAGGUUAAUGAGGCGAACCGGGGGAACUGAAACAUCUAAGUACCCCGAGGAAAAGAAAUCAACCGAGAUUCCCCCAGUAGCGGCGAGCGAACGGGGAGCAGCCCAGAGCCUGAAUCAGUAUGUGUGUUAGUGGAAGCGUCUGGAAAGGCGUGCGAUACAGGGUGACAGCCCCGUACACAAAAAUGCACAUAUUGUGAGCUCGAUGAGUAGGGCGGGACACGUGGUAUCCUGUCUGAAUAUGGGGGGACCAUCCUCCAAGGCUAAAUACUCCUGACUGACCGAUAGUGAACCAGUACCGUGAGGGAAAGGCGAAAAGAACCCCGGCGAGGGGAGUGAAAAAGAACCUGAAACCGUGUACGUACAAGCAGUGGGAGCCUCUUAAUGGGGUGACUGCGUACCUUUUGUAUAAUGGGUCAGCGACUUAUAUUCUGUAGCAAGGUUAACCGAAUAGGGGAGCCGAAGGGAAACCGAGUCUUAACUGGGCGUUAAGUUGCAGGGUAUAGACCCGAAACCCGGUGAUCUAGCCAUGGGCAGGUUGAAGGUUGGGUAACACUAACUGGAGGACCGAACCGACUAAUGUUGAAAAAUUAGCGGAUGACUUGUGGCUGGGGGUGAAAGGCCAAUCAAACCGGGAGAUAGCUGGUUCUCCCCGAAAGCUAUUUAGGUAGCGCCUCGUGAAUUCAUCUCCGGGGGUAGAGCACUGUUUCGGCAAGGGGGUCAUCCCGACUUACCAACCCGAUGCAAACUGCGAAUACCGGAGAAUGUUAUCACGGGAGACACACGGCGGGUGCUAACGUCCGUCGUGAAGAGGGAAACAACCCAGACCGCCAGCUAAGGUCCCAAAGUCAUGGUUAAGUGGGAAACGAUGUGGGAAGGCCCAGACAGCCAGGAUGUUGGCUUAGAAGCAGCCAUCAUUUAAAGAAAGCGUAAUAGCUCACUGGUCGAGUCGGCCUGCGCGGAAGAUGUAACGGGGCUAAACCAUGCACCGAAGCUGCGGCAGCGACACUAUGUGUUGUUGGGUAGGGGAGCGUUCUGUAAGCCUGUGAAGGUGGCCUGUGAGGGUUGCUGGAGGUAUCAGAAGUGCGAAUGCUGACAUAAGUAACGAUAAAGCGGGUGAAAAGCCCGCUCGCCGGAAGACCAAGGGUUCCUGUCCAACGUUAAUCGGGGCAGGGUGAGUCGACCCCUAAGGCGAGGCCGAAAGGCGUAGUCGAUGGGAAACAGGUUAAUAUUCCUGUACUUGGUGUUACUGCGAAGGGGGGACGGAGAAGGCUAUGUUGGCCGGGCGACGGUUGUCCCGGUUUAAGCGUGUAGGCUGGUUUUCCAGGCAAAUCCGGAAAACCAAGGCUGAGGCGUGAUGACGAGGCACUACGGUGCUGAAGCGACAAAUGCCCUGCUUCCAGGAAAAGCCUCUAAGCAUCAGGUAACAUCAAAUCGUACCCAAAACCGACACAGGUGGUCAGGUAGAGAAUACCAAGGCGCUUGAGAGAACUCGGGUGAAGGAACUAGGCAAAAUGGUGCCGUAACUUCGGGAGAAGGCACGCUGAUAUGUAGGUGAAGCGACUUGCUCGUGGAGCUGAAAUCAGUCGAAGAUACCAGCUGGCUGCAACUGUUUAUUAAAAACACAGCACUGUGCAAACACGAAAGUGGACGUAUACGGUGUGACGCCUGCCCGGUGCCGGAAGGUUAAUUGAUGGGGUUAGCGGUAACGCGAAGCUCUUGAUCGAAGCCCCGGUAAACGGCGGCCGUAACUAUAACGGUCCUAAGGUAGCGAAAUUCCUUGUCGGGUAAGUUCCGACCUGCACGAAUGGCGUAAUGAUGGCCAGGCUGUCUCCACCCGAGACUCAGUGAAAUUGAACUCGCUGUGAAGAUGCAGUGUACCCGCGGCAAGACGGAAAGACCCCGUGAACCUUUACUAUAGCUUGACACUGAACAUUGAGCCUUGAUGUGUAGGAUAGGUGGGAGGCUUUGAAGUGUGGACGCCAGUCUGCAUGGAGCCGACCUUGAAAUACCACCCUUUAAUGUUUGAUGUUCUAACGUUGGCCCGUAAUCCGGGUUGCGGACAGUGUCUGGUGGGUAGUUUGACUGGGGCGGUCUCCUCCUAAAGAGUAACGGAGGAGCACGAAGGUUGGCUAAUCCUGGUCGGACAUCAGGAGGUUAGUGCAAUGGCAUAAGCCAGCUUGACUGCGAGCGUGACGGCGCGAGCAGGUGCGAAAGCAGGUCAUAGUGAUCCGGUGGUUCUGAAUGGAAGGGCCAUCGCUCAACGGAUAAAAGGUACUCCGGGGAUAACAGGCUGAUACCGCCCAAGAGUUCAUAUCGACGGCGGUGUUUGGCACCUCGAUGUCGGCUCAUCACAUCCUGGGGCUGAAGUAGGUCCCAAGGGUAUGGCUGUUCGCCAUUUAAAGUGGUACGCGAGCUGGGUUUAGAACGUCGUGAGACAGUUCGGUCCCUAUCUGCCGUGGGCGCUGGAGAACUGAGGGGGGCUGCUCCUAGUACGAGAGGACCGGAGUGGACGCAUCACUGGUGUUCGGGUUGUCAUGCCAAUGGCACUGCCCGGUAGCUAAAUGCGGAAGAGAUAAGUGCUGAAAGCAUCUAAGCACGAAACUUGCCCCGAGAUGAGUUCUCCCUGACUCCUUGAGGGUCCUGAAGGAACGUUGAAGACGACGACGUUGAUAGGCCGGGUGUGUAAGCGCAGCGAUGCGUUGAGCUAACCGGUACUAAUGAACCGUGAGGCUUAACCUU